rnacentral:rRNA from 1 species
CCCUUCGGGGUGUGACUGCGUACCUUUUGUAUAAUGGGUCAGCGACUUAUAUUCUGUAGCAAGGUUAACCGUAUAGGGGAGCCGGAGGGAAACCGAGUCUUAAUUGGGCGUUAAGUUGCAGGGUAUAGACCCGAAACCCGGUGAUCUAGCCAUGGGCAGGUUGAAGGUUGGGUAACACUAACUGGAGGACCGAACCGACUAAUGUUGAAAAAUUAGCGGAUGACCUGUGGCUGGGGGUGAAAGGCCAAUCAAACCGGGAGAUAGCUGGUUCUCCCCGAAAGCUAUUUAGGUAGCGCCUCGUGAAUUCAUCUCCGGGGGUAGAGCACUGUUUCGGCUAGGGGGCCAUCCCGGCUUACCAACCCGAUGCAAACUGCGAAUACCGGAGAAUGUUAUCACGGGAGACACACGGCGGGUGCUAACGUCCGUCGUGAAGAGGGAAACAACCCAGACCGCCAGCUAAGGUCCCAAAGUCAUGGUUAAGUGGGAAACGAUGUGGGAAGGCCCAGACAGCCAGGAUGUUGGCUUAGAAGCAGCCAUCAUUUAAAGAAAGCGUAAUAGCUCACUGGUCGAGUCGGCCUGCGCGGAAGAUGUAACGGGGCUAAACCAUGCACCGAAGCUGCGGCAGCGACACUGUGUGUUGUUGGGUAGGGGAGCGUUCUG